UACGUAGGGACCAAGCGUUGUUCGGAUUUACUGGGCGUAAAGGGCGCGUAGGCGGCGUGGUAAGUCACUUUGUGAAAUCUCUGAGCUUAACUCAGAACGGCCAAGUGAUACUGCUGUGCUAGAGUGCAGAAGGGGCAAUCGGAAUUCUUGGUGUAGCGGUGAAAUGCGUAGAUAUCAAGAGGAACACCUGAGGUGAAGACGGGUUGCUGGGCUGACACUGACGCUGAUGCGCGAAAAGCCAGGGGAGCAAACGGG
rnacentral:rRNA from 1 species